GGUAGCCUGGUAACAUACACUCCCAGGUCUUUCUCUGCCUCUGUGGUGGAUAGUGGAGUGUUUCCCAUGUGGUAUUGGUGUGCUGGAUAUCCCUUCACUGGUAGCCUGGUAACAUACACUCCCAGGUCUUUCUCUGCCUCUGUGGUGGAUAGUGGAGUGUUUCCCAUGUGGUAUUGGUGUGCUGGAUAUCCCUUCACUGGUAGCCUGGUAACAUACACUCCCAGGUCUUUCUCUGCCUCUGUGGUGGAUAGUGGAGUGUUUCCCAUGUGGUAUUGGUGUGCUGGAUAUCCCUUCACUGGUAGCCUGGUAACAUACACUCCCAGGUCUUUCUCUGCCUCUGUGGUGGAUAGUGGAGUGUUUCCCAUGUGGUAUUGGUGUGCUGGAUAUCCCUUCACUGGUAGCCUGGUAACAUACACUCCCAGGUCUUUCUCUGCCUCUGUGGUGGAUAGUGGAGUGUUUCCCAUGUGGUAUUGGUGUGCUGGAUAUCCCUUCACUGGUAGCCUGGUAACAUAUAGUCCCAGGUCUUUCUCUGCCUCUGUGGUGGAUAGUGGAGUGUUUCCCAUGUGGUAUUGGUGUGCUGGAUAUCCCUUCACUGGUAGCCUGGUAACAUACACUCCCAGGUCUUUCUCUGCCUCUGUGGUGGAUAGUGGAGUGUUUCCCAUGUGGUAUUGGUGUGCUGGAUAUCCCUUCACUGGUAGCCUGGUAACAUACACUCCCAGGUCUUUCUCUGCCUCUGUGGUGGGUAGUGGAGUGUUUCCCAUGUGGUAUUGGUGUGCUGGAUAUCCCUUCACUGGUAGCCUGGUAACAUACACUCCCAGGUCUUUCUCUGCCUCUGUGGUGGAUAGUGGAGUGUUUCCCAUGUGGUAUUGGUGUGCUGGAUAUCCCUUCACUGGUAGCCUGGUAACAUACACUCCCAGGUCUUUCUCUGCCUCUGUGGUGGAUAGUGGAGUUUCCCAUGUGGUAUUGGUGUGCUGGAUAUCCCUUCACUGGUAGCCUGGUAACAUACACUCCCAGGUCUUUCUCUGCCUCUGUGGUGGAUAGUGGAGUGUUUCCCAUGUGGUAUUGGUGUGCUGGAUAUCCCUUCACUGGUAGCCUGGUAACAUACACUCCCAGGUCUUUCUCUGCCUCUGUGGUGGAUAGUGGAGUGUUUCCCAUAUGAUAUUGGUGUGCUGGAUAUCCCUUCACUGGUAGCCUGGUAACAUACACUCCCAGGUCUUUCUCUGCCUCUGUGGUGGAUAGUGGAGUGUUUCCCAUGUGGUAUUGGUGUGCUGGAUAUCCCUUCACUGGUAGCCUGGUAACAUACACUCCCAGGUCUUUCUCUGCCUCUGUGGUGGAUAGUGGAGUGUUUCCCAUGUGGUAUUGGUGUGCUGGAUAUCCCUUCACUGGUAGCCUGGUAACAUACACUCCCAGGUCUUUCUCUGCCUCUGUGGUGGAUAGUGGAGUGUUUCCCAUAUGAUAUUGGUGUGCUGGAUAUCCCUUCACUGGUAUCCUGGUAACAUACACUCCCAGGUCUUUCUCUGCCUCUGUGGUGGAUAGUGGAGUGUUUCCCAUGUGGUAUUGGUGUGCUGGAUAUCCCUUCACUGGUAGCCUGGUAACAUACACUCCCAGGUCUUUCUCUGCCUCUGUGGUGGAUAGUGGAGUGUUUCCCAUGUGGUAUUGGUGUGCUGGAUAUCCCUUCACUGGUAGCCUGGUAACAUACACUCCCAGGUCUUUCUCUGCCUCUGUGGUGGAUAGUGGAGUGUUUCCCAUGUGGUAUUGGUGUGCUGGGUAUCCCCUCCCAAGGUGCGGAAC